UUUUUUUUUUUUUUGGUCAUUGCUUUUUCUAUUUUGGACAAAAUAAACUCUAUCUGAUUGCUUCUUAUUUCUCUUGUAAGGAUCUUGUUUCGGUUUCUUCUUACUUGGAUCCUGCCUCCAAGAGGGGUUUCAAAGUCAACUUCUCUGAUGUGUCUUAAGACCUUAUAUGCAGCUGGCCGCGGUGGCUCAGGCCUGUAAUCCCAGCACUGUGGGAGGCAGACAGAUCACCUGAGGUCAGGAGUUUGAGGCUAGUCUGGCCAACAUAGUGAAACCCCGUCUCUACUAAAAAUAAAAAUACAAAUAUUAGCCCAGCGCGGUAGCACACGCCUGUCAUCCCAGCUACCCAGGAGGCUGAGGCAGGAGAAUAACUUGAAUCCAGGAAGUGGAGGUUGCCGUGAGCCAAGAUUGCACCCCUGCACUCCAGCCUGGGUGACAGAGUGAGACUCUGUCUCAAAAAACAAAACAAAAUAAAACAAAACAAAGCAAAAACCCUUAUAUGCCUGAGAAUAUCUUUAUUAUAUACUUAAAUUUUAUGAUAAUUUAGUCAGAGGUGACAUUCCAGGUACACACUUCUUCUCUUUCAGUACUGAAGAAUAUUGCUUCCAUUGUCUCCUUGAACCCAGAGGUGUCUCGGAGAAUUCUGAGAUCAUCUGAGUUUGAGGAUUCUCUCUGCUUUUGAUGUUCUAGUCCCCUGAAUGUGCCUAGUGGGUUUUCCUUCUCUCUCCUGUGUGGCCCUCUCUGUGCUGCUGGGAUGUGAGUGCUCUCUCUCCUCUGCUUCCGGGAGGUUUAUCAUCAUUCUCCCUCUCUUUCUCAUCCCUUUAUUGGAUAUGUUUUCUCUUCGGUUAUCUGUGUCUCUUAGCUUUUUCUUUUUUUCUCUCUCUAUUUUUCCCUUCUGGGAGACUUUCUCAGCUGGAUCUUGCCCCUCCCUAAUGCGGCUUUCCUGUUGCUCAUUCCGUCCGCGGUUUCACUGGGUCAGGGAUCUGUCUUUCGUCCCUGGCAUGCUGCGUGGGUGUUGACAGCUUUUUCUUCCUGCUUCUGUCCUUUGAGGGUGUGCUUUUUGCUGGCCGUGACGGGUAUGGCUCUGC
rnacentral:lncRNA from 1 species